rnacentral:rRNA from 1 species
UGGGGAAUUUUGGACAAUGGGCGAAAGCCUGAUCCAGCAAUGCCGCGUGUGUGAAGAAGGCCUUCGGGUUGUAAAGCACUUUUGUCCGGAAAGAAAUCCUUGGCUCUAAUACAGUCGGGGGAUGACGGUACCGGAAGAAUAAGCACCGGCUAACUACGUGCCAGCAGCCGCGGUAAUACGUAGGGUGCAAGCGUUAAUCGGAAUUACUGGGCGUAAAGCGUGCGCAGGCGGUUUGCUAAGACCGAUGUGAAAUCCCCGGGCUCAACCUGGGAACUGCAUUGGUGACUGGCAGGCUAGAGUAUGGCAGAGGGGGGUAGAAUCCCACGUGUAGCAGUGAAAUGCGUAGAGAUGUGGAGGAAUACCGAUGGCGAAGGCAGCCCCCUGGGGCCAAUACUGACGCUCAUGCACGAAAAGCGUGGGGGAGCAAACAGGAUUAGAUACCCUGGUAGUCCACGCCCUAAAACGAUGUCAACUAGUUGUUGGGGAUUCAUUUCCUAGUAACGUAGCUAACGCGUGAAGUUGACCGCCUGGGGAGUACGGUCGCAAGAUUAAAACUCAAAUGAAUUGACGGGGUCAUAGCUGUUUCCU